rnacentral:rRNA from 1 species
UACGUAGGGUGCAAGCGUUAAUCGGAAUUACUGGGCGUAAAGCGUGCGCAGGCGGUUCUAUAAGACAGAUGUGAAAUCCCCGGGCUCAACCUGGGAACUGCAUUUGUGACUGUAGAGCUGGAGUACGGCAGAGGGGGAUGGAAUUCCGCGUGUAGCAGUGAAAUGCGUAGAUAUGCGGAGGAACACCGAUGGCGAAGGCAAUCCCCUGGGCCUGUACCGACGCUCAUGCACGAAAGCGUGGGGAGCAAACAGG